rnacentral:rRNA from 1 species
UACAGAGGGUGCGAGCGUUAAUCGGAAUUACUGGGCGUAAAGCGCGCGUAGGCGGCUUUGCAAGUCGGGUGUGAAAUCCCCAGGCUUAACCUGGGAACUGCAUUCGAGACUGCAUUGCUAGAGUAUGGGAGAGGGAAGUGGAAUUUCCGGUGUAGCGGUGAAAUGCGUAGAUAUCGGAAGGAACACCGGUGGCGAAAGCGGCGCGCUGGACCCCUUCUGACGCUGAGGCGCGAAAGCCAGGGGAGCAAACGGG